AUUGAACGCUGGCGGCAGGCCUAACACAUGCAAGUCGAGCGGAUGAAGGGAGCUUGCUCCUGGAUUCAGCGGCGGACGGGUGAGUAAUGCCUAGGAAUCUGCCUGGUAGUGGGGGAUAACGUCCGGAAACGGGCGCUAAUACCGCAUACGUCCUGAGGGAGAAAGUGGGGGAUCUUCGGACCUCACGCUAUCAGAUGAGCCUAGGUCGGAUUAGCUAGUUGGUGGGGCAAAGGCCUACCAAGGCGACGAUCCGUAACUGGUCUGAGAGGAUGAUCAGUCACACUGGAACUGAGACACGGUCCAGACUCCUACGGGAGGCAGCAGUGGGGAAUAUUGGACAAUGGGCGAAAGCCUGAUCCAGCCAUGCCGCGUGUGUGAAGAAGGUCUUCGGAUUGUAAAGCACUUUAAGUUGGGAGGAAGGGCAGUAAGUUAAUACCUUGCUGUUUUGACGUUACCAACAGAAUAAGCACCGGCUAACUUCGUG
rnacentral:rRNA from 1 species